UACGGGGGGUGCGAGCGUUGUCCGGAAUCACUGGGCGUAAAGGGCGCGUAGGUGGUUUGAUAAGGGUGUGGUGAAAGUCCGGGGCUCAACCCCCGGAUCUGCCGUGCCGACUGUCAAACUCGAGGGCUGUAGAGGCAGACGGAAUUCCGGGUGUAGCGGUGGAAUGCGUAGAGAGUCCGGAGGAAGACCGGUGGCGAAGGCGGUCUGCUGGGCAGUUUCUGACACUGAUGCGCGACAGCGUGGGGAGCAAACAGG
rnacentral:rRNA from 1 species